AUUGAUAUGCUUAAGUUCAGCGGGUAUCCCUACCUGAUCCGAGGUCAACCUAGAAAAUUUAAAGGUUUAACGGCAAUGAGAUCCGACCAAGCUUAUAAGACGUUCGAUUUAACUCUACUACGCCCGAAGUUGGUUGAACCCCGCCGAGGUCUUCGAGGAAGGCCCGCCUUGCGACGGACCGUUCCCAAUACCAAGCGAUGCUUGAGUGGUGUAAUGACGCUCGAACAGGCAUGCCCCUCGGAAUACCAAGGGGCGCAAUGUGCGUUCAAAGAUUCGAUGAUUCACUGAAUUCUGCAAUUCACAUUACUUAUCGCAUUUCGCUGCGUUCUUCAUCGAUGCGAGAACCAAGAGAUCCGUUGUUGAAAGUUUUAAUUUAAUUAAAAUUUUAUACUCAGACGACUGGUUUAAUACAAGAGUUUGGUUGGACUCUGGCGGGCGCUCACCAACCCGAGGGUUAGUGCGCUCGGAGACCGAGACGGUCCCGCCAAAGCAACAAGGUAGUUUUAACAACAGAGGGUUGGAGGUCGGGCCAUGAAGACCCUAUCUCUUUAAUGAUCCUUCCGCA
rnacentral:misc_RNA from 1 species